GACGAACGCUGGCGGCGUGCCUAACACAUGCAAGUCGAGCGGGGAUUUAAGUGGAAGUUCUUCGGAAUGGAGAUUUAAAUUCUAGCGGCGGACGGGUGAGUAACGCGUGAACAAUCUGUCCCGGACAGGGGGAUAACACUUGGAAACAGGUGCUAAUACCGCAUAAGACCACGGCCUCGCAUGGGGCUGAGGUAAAAGGAGCAAUCCGGUUCGGGGUGAGUUCGCGUCCGUUUAGCUAGUUGGUGAGGUAACGGCCCACCAAGGCGACGUUCGGUAGCCGGCCUGGGAGGGUGAACGGCCACAUUGGAACUGAGAGACGGUCCAAACGCCUACGGGAGGCAGCAGUGGGGAAUAUUGGGCAAUGGGCGAAAGCCUGACCCAGCAACGCCGCGUGAGGGAAGAAGGUUUUCGGAUUGUAAACCUCUGUCCUAUGGGACGAAGGAAGUGACGGUACCAUAGGAGGAAGCCCCGGCUAACUACGUG
rnacentral:rRNA from 1 species